rnacentral:rRNA from 1 species
GACGAAGGAUGCAAGCGUUAUCCGGAUUCAUUGGGUUUAAAGGGAGCGUAGGUGGCCUGGUAAGUCAGUGGUGAAAUCUUCUCGCUUAACGAGAAAACUGCCAUUGAUACUGCUAGGCUUGAGUACAGAUGCCGUUGGCGGAAUAUGACAUGUAGUGGUGAAAUACAUAGAGAUGUCAUAGAACACCGAUUGCGAAGGCAGCUAACGAAACUGUAACUGACACUGAGGCUCGAAAGUGCGGGGAUCAAACAGG